UUGUUACAUUCACGUGUUGUAUGACCGGGACGGUUGUCCACGUGAUUGCAACGGCCGUGCAAUUUCGUACGGCCUUCGUCUGGUAGUCUUGUUGGGCAGUGCCAACGAUGCCGGAAGACACUGGCCAGGACUUCGCGGGAAAUGUCCAAGUUUAACGAUUCCAGGACUGCGAACUUCCGGUGCGGAACGCGGGCAGGUCGGCGGCAAGACGCGAGAACUCGGAGCUCUGUAGGCAAGGAGACAAUGAGAUCUCGGAUCUGCCUACCACAGGGAAGGCGACAUUGCAUUCCAACAUGGAAGGAUCACCAAAGCUGACAUACCCAUCGUCAAUGUGUCUCGCCACCGUGUGAGGAGAAACUCUGGUCGGAAAGUACUGCACAAAGAAAGGAUAUGCGAAGGAAUGAUGUCUCCCUCUAUUGUGACGCGGGGCUGAGCGGUCACUUUCGUUACGGCCAUUACCCAGUGUUUGUUGUGCAUUGUCCAGCGACGAACCUGUUGCGUUCUCAGGAUGGGUGGACCUGUGCUUGCGCAGUAUGGCGAGGACACCACGACCAAAUGUGUCCCGUGCAGUGGCGCUGCUGUGCAAGGACCCCGUGUAUAUCGUGGUGAAACUGCGGGACUACAACAACGGCUUGCAACAUCAGGCCGUCCAGUUCUCCAGCCCCAGCAAACGAAACAUUGUAACAUCGAUCUGCUGCUGAACGGAGCUACUGAUCAAUAUUUUCUGUGCUACUCCAGUGAGGUGUCACCCCCGUACAAAAUGCUACGUUUGUUUAAUAAAACUUUGUUCUACGAGA